rnacentral:rRNA from 1 species
UACGGAGGGUGCAAGCGUUGUUCGGAAUCAUUGGGCGUAAAGCGCGCGCAGGCGGGAUUGCAAGUAAGGUGUGAAAUCUCGGGGCUUAACUCCGAAACUGCGCCUUAAACUACAAUUCUAGAAUACUGGAGGGGGAUGGGGAAUUUCUCAUGUAGGGGUAAAAUCCGUAGAGAUGAGAAGGAACACCUGAGGCGAAGGCGCCAUCCUGGACAGUGAUUGACGCUGAGGCGCGAAAGCGUGGGGAG